rnacentral:rRNA from 1 species
GACGAGAGGCGCGGGUGUUAUUCGUUUUGAUUGGGUGUAAGGGGUAUGUAGACGGUGGCCAACCUUUCGAUGACCAAAAUUGCGGAGUAAUUCUAUGCAUGUGUCAGAGUUAAGCGGCCAUAGGUGUUGUGUGCGGGUCGUGGAAUUCUGUGUGUAGAGGUAGAAUCCCACCAUAUACGGAGGACUACCAAAUAGCAGAGGCAUCUUUCUUGUUUCAACAGUCGUUGAGGUACGGAAGCGUAGGGAUCAAACAGG